rnacentral:rRNA from 1 species
AUUGAACGCUGGCGGCAUGCCUUACACAUGCAAGUCGAACGGCAGCACGGGAGCAAUCCUGGUGGCGAGUGGCGAACGGGUGAGUAAUAUAUCGGAACGUGCCCGGUCGUGGGGGAUAACGUAGCGAAAGCUACGCUAAUACCGCAUACGAUCUACGGAUGAAAGCGGGGGAUCGCAAGACCUCGCGCGAUUGGAGCGGCCGAUAUCAGAUUAGGUAGUUGGUGAGGUAAAGGCUCACCAAGCCGACGAUCUGUAGCUGGUCUGAGAGGACGACCAGCCACACUGGGACUGAGACACGGCCCAGACUCCUACGGGAGGCAGCAGUGGGGAAUUUUGGACAAUGGGCGCAAGCCUGAUCCAGCAAAUGCCGCGUGCAGGAUGAAGGCCU